AAUGCGUUAGAAAAGCGCAACCAGCAAUAAGACUUCAGGAUAAUUAGUUCAUUAAAAGCACUUUACGCUUCUUGUAAAACAAGCUAACAUAGCUCAUUUAUUUCAGCUUCUUCAGGAAAAUCUCUUCAGGCUUCUGAUAACCACUGAGCCAGGAGCUGACUCAAGCACAACAUUUAGACUUUUGAAGCACCCGUGGAGUUUCAAGGAAACCUGCAUCUUCUGUAGAAUGCUGGCAUGUGAUUUGCUUCCAUGACUGUUUGCUGUGACAGAUCUUUGGAGUCAGGACUUUUUUUGAUAAAAGAAAUUGCAUUGUUUCACCAGCCACACAGUAGAGGUCCUGAAGGGAAAAUAUUUCCACUGCAUUAUACUUCAAUCGAUUUAAACACAAAUCCAGCAGUGGUUGAACACCUGAGAACCAGGUGUACCUGGUAGAGGAGAUGGU
rnacentral:lncRNA from 1 species